rnacentral:rRNA from 1 species
UACGUAGGGGGCAAGCGUUGUCCGGAAUCAUUGGGCGUAAAGCGCGCGUAGGCGGCCCGGUAAGUCCGCUGUGAAAGUCGGGGGCUCAACCCUCGAAUGCCGGUGGAUACUGUCGGGCUAGAGUGCGGAAGAGGCGAGUGGAAUUCCUGGUGUAGCGGUGAAAUGCGCAGAUAUCAGGAGGAACACCAAUUGCGAAGGCAGCUCGCUGGGACGUAACUGACGCUGAGAAGCGAAAGCGUGGGGAGCAAACAGG